rnacentral:rRNA from 1 species
UGGGGAAUAUUGCACAAUGGGCGAAAGCCUGAUGCAGCGACGCCGCGUGAGGGAUGACGGCCUUCGGGUUGUAAACCUCUUUCAGCAGGGAAGAAGCGAAAGUGACGGUACCUGCAGAAGAAGCGCCGGCUAACUACGUGCCAGCAGCCGCGGUAAUACGUAGGGCGCAAGCGUUGUCCGGAAUUAUUGGGCGUAAAGAGCUCGUAGGCGGUUAGUCGCGUCUGCUGUGAAAACUCGAGGCUCAACCUCGGGCUUGCAGUGGGUACGGGCUGACUAGAGUGCGGUAGGGGUGACUGGAAUUCCUGGUGUAGCGGUGGAAUGCGCAGAUAUCAGGAGGAACACCGAUGGCGAAGGCAGGUCACUGGGCCGCAACUGACGCUGAGGAGCGAAAGCAUGGGGAGCGAACAGGAUUAGAUAGCCCUGGUAGUCCAUGCCGUAAACGUUGGGCACUAGGUGUGGGGUCCAUUCCACGGAUUCCGUGCCGCAGCAAACGCAUUAAGUGCCCCGCCUGGGGAGUACGGCCGCAAGGCUAAAACUCAAAUGAAUUG